rnacentral:lncRNA from 1 species
CAAACGCAAGUAAACAAUGGAGCUGCGUUUUUUCUGCAUAAAAAGCACGUUUACAUUUCUCUACCGAUUUCACUGAGUCGUUUUUAUAUUCAAGGGUUUAUGAUCUAGGUGGAGUACCAAAACAAGUUUUGUCUCCAUGUUACUUAGAAUCUCGACAGUUAUAAUCGCCAUAGACAUACAUACAUACAUACAUGUCUAUGAUAAUCGCCAUAGACACUCACUGUUCUUGUGCUCCCACAGCUCCUUCACUAUGAAAUACUGAAAAUAAAUCUAAACUAUCGAAAUAGUGCAUCUUUAACUACUAAUAUGGCUACACUAGACACUUUUCAGUCCAUAUUUUUCAGUAGAAUCUUUCCCAACAGUCGAGGAUUACGCUACUCAACAAGUAGGCAUGACAGUCCUUGCAGGUCAUGUGCUUAACAAUUGUACUAGGUAUCGUAUUAUACGGCUCUUCAGAAUGUUCA